CGAAAGUGACUUUACACACUCUAAUUGCACGAUAGCUAAGACCCAAACUGGGAUUAGAUACCCCACUAUGCUUAGCCCUAAACACAUACAACUAAACAAACAAAGUUGUCCGCCAGAGUACUACUAGCAACAGCUUAAAACUCAAAGGACUUGGCGGUGCUUUACAUCCACCUAGAGGAGCCUGUUCUAUAAUCGAUAAACCCCGUUAAACCUCACCAACUUUUGCCAAUUCAGCCUAUAUACCGCCAUCUUCAGCAAACCCUAAAAAGGAAGAAAAGUAAGCAUAAAUACGAAAACGCAAAUACGUUAGGUCAAGGUGUAGCCAAUAAGUUGGGAAGAAAUGGGCUACAUUUUCUUACACAAGAACACCAUAUUUAACGAAAUCCACUAUGAAAUCUAGAGGACAAAGGAGGAUUUAGCAGUAAAUUAAGAAUAGAGAGCUUAAUUGAAUAAGGCCAUGAAGCACGCAC
rnacentral:rRNA from 1 species